rnacentral:lncRNA from 1 species
UUACAUAAUUUUUAAGUUGUUGGAUUUAAAUUGAUAGGGUAGGCAUUUUGGUAUAAUUUACUGGCAUUCUUUAGUAAAACUAGGGCCAGUGUUUUUAUAAUGUAGGAAAGAUAAAGAAAGAAGAAAUUAUGCAUAAUACAUGCUGUAUGCACAUGAAACAUACAUCUUGAUACAAUUUACUCUCAGAGUAAGCGUUUGGAUCUCAGAGUCUGAGCCUGAGUUUGUUGGGCAUGUGGAAAAGGCACGAUGGCUCUGCUUUUCUUGGCUUUCUUUCAUAGGACUGCUUCCAGCUGCUGCUCAUUUGAUGUGACACCUUGUCAUUUAGUGUUACUGGCUUCCAGAAGUGCUCUUCAGCAUCACGUUCAAGUCCGUUUCUUUAAGAAGUUGAUGAGGCUGAAGUGGAGAAGAGCUGUGAGUCUGCCGAGGAAGUGCUGGCCUAGUUAUUACAGUCUAUACUCCAUCACUUGCCCCGGCUUCUCCACUCACUAGUUUUCAGGGAGAAAAAAAAAAAAAGCUGAUCUUUGAAACAAUGGAAAAGACCAAGAUAAUAAUGAAAUAACUCCAGCCCGGGACAAUUGCUGCUAGGAUUCUUCACCUUAUACUAAAUACAUUCUGGUUGACAAUUUCUUUUCUUACUCAAAUUAUGAACAAAAUCCCUGUAUUUUUUUUAACUACAACCUCUGCUAGUAUGGAAACCUACUUUGCUGACUUCAAAAGGUCUUUCUCUUUCUUUUGCAGAAGGAGCAAGGUGGAUCAGAUGGUGGACAGUCUAUGACCAGAUGAACUCCUUUUCCGAGUACUAGAAUUACAGUUUGGUUUCAUUGCUAUUCGAUGAUAAGAACUGACCUACCUAGCUCCUGGCUCAAUGGACACCACCCACACCUAAGAAGUAUCAGGUGGAGUAGGCCCUGGGGACCUGUGUGUAACUUAUGUUUCAGAUUUCAAUCUGUGACACUGAGCCUGUGGACCCACGAACAACUUCAACACCUUUGGUCCGCUCUCAUAUUACAAUAUAGGUGUUGCGGCCUUUCUUACCUUUCUUGCCUGCAUCAGGUUCUUUCCUUUCUUUCUUUUUAAUUGUUUAAACUUUAGUCUUCUCUCAUAUAGUGCGUCCUGGCUGCAAUUUCCCCACCCCAUAGUCUCUCCUUCACCUCCUUCUUCUCCCUGAAUUCACCUCCCCCCUCCCCCCCUUCAGAAAAGAGCAAGAUUUCUAGGGCAUCAACCAAAUACAGCAUAACAAACUACAAUAAGACCAGGCACAUAUUCUCACAUCAGAGAUGGAGGAAGCAACCCAGUAGGAGGAAAAGGGUCCUGAAGGCAGAAACAGGAGUCAGAGAUACCCCAUUCCUACUGUUAGAAAUUCUAUUAAGAACACAAAGCUAUACAACCUUAACAUUUAUGCAGAGGACUUAUGUCAGACCCAUAUAGGAUUCCUGAUUUUGUGAGCCCACUUGAGUCCUGGAAGUUGAUUCUAUGGGCCUUGUUCUUGUAGUGUCUUUGAUCCCUCUGGUUCCUACAAACCUUCUUCCCUCUCUUCCACAGGACUCCCCAAACUCUGCCUCAUAUUUAGCUGUGAGACUCUGUAUUUGCUCCCAUCAGUUGUUGGAUAAAGUCUCUCUGGACAAUGUGAUGAUGACUUUGUUAGGCUCCAGUUCCAGAACAACAUGCAGGCAGGACAAAUUGUAGGUCGGAGAUUUUAUGGCUGUUUUGUAUCCUAAUUCCUCUACCUGAGGCCUUGCCUGGUUAUAGAUGAUGGCCAGUUCAGGCUCUGGGCCCUCCCAUUACUGAAGUUUUCACUGGUGUCGACGUCAUAAAUUCCAUGGAGUUUUUAUUGCAUUAUGUUUUUACCUCACUCUUAAAACACACCCCCAAAUUCCAGCCAUCUCUCCCAGUAUUUCCUCCCUGCACCCCUCAACCUGAUAACUCCUGCUCCCAUCCCUACCUCCUCCUAGUCCAUCCAUGACAUCUAUUCCAUUUUCCUGUCCCAGGUAGAUUCUUCUGUCCACACCACUUCACCACCCACUCCCUUGUUACUUUGCCCCUCUGGAUCUGUGGAUUAUAGAAUAAUUAUCUUUAGAGCUAAUAGUCUGGAUAAGAUUGUUACCUAUCACUUCUCAUGUAACUACAGGGCACAUGAAAAGAAGAGAGAGGAGGAGGUUUAGGUAGGGUGUGGGACAGACAUUGAAUGAUAUGUCAUUCUUUCAUAUCAUUCAGGGUAUCAGUAUGAUAGGAAUGAAGUGAUCUUAGAGAUUUUUUGGGGGUGGGGUUUAAAUGAAUAGAAUAAAGUACCACCUUGUAAACACCUCACUUUGUAUUUGGUGGGAUGGAAGGUAUUCCUGCUAAUCACAACCUCCUUCAAAGUUCAGUUCAGUUUUAUUAAAAUGUUUUUUAUGAGACUAGAACAAAGGAUUUUAGUCAGUGGAUUGGGAUUUUCAUGUGUUUUCUCUGCACAAUCACAGCCCU